GUAGUCCACGCCGUAAACGUUGGGAACUAGGUGUGGGGUCCAUUCCACGGGCUCUGUGCCGCAGCUAACGCAUUAAGUUCCCCGCCUGGGGAGUACGGCCGCAAGGCUAAAACUCAAAGGAAUUGACGGGGGCCCGCACAAGCGGCGGAGCAUGUGGCUUAAUUCGAUGCAACGCGAAGAACCUUACCUGGGCUUGACAUGUUCGGUCUACCUGCAGAGAUGUGGGGUGCUUCGGCGCCGUUCACAGGUGGUGCAUGGUUGUCGUCAGCUCGUGUCGUGAGAUGUUGGGUUAAGUCCCGCAACGAGCGCAACCCUCGUUCCAUGUUGCCAGCGCGUAAUGGCGGGGACUCAUGGGAGACUGCCGGGGUCAACUCGGA
rnacentral:rRNA from 1 species